rnacentral:lncRNA from 1 species
UUAUGGAAACUAACCUAACAAGCUAGUAAGUAAACCUGACUAACAAGUAUUUCGUACCUACCCCAGUAACUGAAGUCCACCACCCUACCUAGUAUGUUAACCACCAGUACCAUCGAUUCCCCUCAGCUAGUUUCAGAAUUCCACUGGGUUGUAUAAGAAUGGAGCUGCUAAGGGAAAGAAUGGAAUGGAAUAAGAACAGCGGCAGUCCCUCCCUACCUUUAUUUAUUGUUGUUGUCCGACCCCGAGACCCGUAGCCCUAAACCUUAUUUAUUGUUGAUCGCACCUACAUGAAUAAGCUAUGUCACCAAAAGAAGAAAUGUUGUUUAUACCAAUGUAUGUCCGGUCUCCCCCGUUGACAGAGUGAAUGGUUGCUCACACAAAGAAUUAGUGGUUCGGCUAACUCCUCUGAAUGAGUUAAUGACAGCUCAUAGACUUAGUGACCGGCCCCGCGACCAGCUGUUGCCCGGCCCUUCAAUGAAUGAGCUAUAUCGCCUGUUGUUUCGCCCGCUGCACGUUGUUUAGACCAGACCAAGACCUCCGUUCGCCCGACCAAUGCACGUUGUUUUGACCAAGACCCCUUUGUUUCUCCCUUGGGUAGGGGUGUGUGUUUCUCCCUUGGUUAUGUAUGGGUGGGUACUUAGGUGUUCAUCCGAUACGCGGCGCGGGUAUGUUGUGCCAUACUGGGGUAUGUUUUGUGUCGGGCCGGGGUACCUUGCAUGAGUUAAUGACCGCUCGAAGAAUUAGUGGUGUGCGCGGUGCUCUGCAAUGGAAUAAUUGUAAGUAAUAGAAUCAUAGAGAAGUAAGAGAAUCAUUGGUGCAAAAGCAAAGUCAUAGUUGGUUAAAAAGCUAAGUAAUAGUAAGAGAAUUAUGGAAUAUCAUAAUGAAGAGAAUAAUGGUCAUUAAUAUAUAAUAAUUGGUUCCAGACCAGGUCCUCGUAUAUGUCUUCUCCCUAUCUCCAACCGAUAGAAGAGCUUAAGGAUUUUAUGGAAGAGACCAAGCAGGUGAUAAGUCCAUGAGCUAGCUUGCAAUAGCCACAUGGUCGCAAGUCGGGUUGUAUAGAUACAUACAGCAGCCAGCACGUAAGGAAGUGCCAUCUCUGCCAGAUCUAUUCAAACCUUAACCUUAAUAAGACUUGCAGAACCUAAGCACUCCCUUGCCUUUGCAAUAUGUGGGGCCUAGACAUCAUCGGACCAAUCAAUCCAAUCCAAAAGCAUAAAAUAGCCAUGAGUUCAUCCUUGUCGAAAUAGAUUCUUUCACCGGAUAGGGGCAGCCUCGUAUACAACAGUGACGGCCAAUCAUGUAGCUCGUGAUUGAAGGAGAUCAAUCUCUGGCAUGCACGGUUUGCCUAUGUCAACUAUGAACGACUAAAGGUGCUUGCUCUGGUGCUAACCAUCUAUCAUGAUUCAGAUCGGCUAGUGGAACAAUGGGGCUAAAACCCGAAUCAAAGCAGGAUAUGUUUUCGUAUUAGCAUCAGCGUCACGGAAAUAUUAUUGUCGCGGCGGGGGCAAUAAAAGAAUGAAGUACAGGAUCAUAUUUAGUUGAAAGAGAAGAUGCAAGCGCUAGGGCCCCAAGAGAAGAAAAGCAGAAUUCAGGUACAAAAACUAGGACUAUUCAGUAGUAAGGAACUAACCAAAGAAGUAGGCUUCAUCCGCUUUUGUUAAGCAAAGAAGAAAUAGAGAAAGAGGAAAGAAAGAGGAGCUCAGUACUUAGGAGUGAAACUCAGACUGGAGCUCAGUACUUAGGAGUGAAAGAGUGAGUCGUUGCUUGGUCAUUCGUAUAUACUUGUCUGUUUGUCUCUUAGAGUUGAACUAGUAAGUAGUUCCGUAUUGCCUGUCGGCUUGGCCGUUGCUUGUCUAGUAGUUGCCCUGGCCGUAGAUGAGCCUCAUUCAGUUAGAUUAGAUUCAAUGGUAUAUGCUCGAUCAAAGGGACAAGCAUAUACUACUGAAGAAUGGAAUUAGUUUACUUAGGAGCAGAUAUAUAAGUGGCACUAGCGUCAGAGGAUUUCGUAGGCAAGGAAAGAAAGUCACUAAUGAAGUUCACAGAGCCAGAGUUUAGGCCCUUAUUGGUUGUUUGCUAGUACUGUGAUAGUUUCAUCCCUUGUUAAAGCCUAUGUUCCAGUUGCCUGAGUUAGAUAAGCCGGAGUUCAAAGAGAUGAGACGAGCCUUAGUUCAAAGAACCAGAGUGAAAAGAGACAGUUCUGGGGAGUUAUUAAAGUGACGUUGCUUGCCUGUCUACUUGCAAGCUUGGUCAUUAGUAUACGCUUGGUGGACUCGGAGUUAAGACCACAUAGUUAUAUAGUAUAGUUAUCAGAGUGGAAUACCUGUAGUAGUAGUACUGUGAUAGUUUGAGUGGAAUCCCCUGGUUCAUCUUAUAAAGAAGCAAAGCUGGUUUAGUCUCGAACUUGACCUCUAUCCUCCACCGGCGUAAACUCAUUCUUAUUUAUUAACGGAAAGUCCAGUGUUCAGCUAGCGCAUUCCCUUACUUACUUUUUCCAUUCUUACCCUAUUCAUAUACUGACUUGCUAUGUGUUUAUAUACGUGACUUGGCCAGUUGUUGCAAGAGAAACAAUAUAAGUAGAAAGUGGAGUAUCUCGUCCUGGCCUGGCUGGCCCUACAGCUAAAGCAGUCUCCCUCCUAUAAAGUGAUAGUCCUGUAUGGGGCCGGGUGCGCCAGAAACCAUAUAAGCGUUAGUGCGUGCCUCGAGAGGAAUAGGGAUUUGGUUACCAUUACACAUGAAAUCGAGAAUGAUAGAAAGAAGCUUUGGGGAAGCAGUGUUGUAAUAAGAAUAAGAAACCGACCGCGCAAGACCUUGUGUUCACGUGAGAGCUCGGGCUCGUGGCUGUAAAAACCCUUCCCUUGUAGUGGAACUAAUGAAAAACACAGACAGACCAGAGGGCAGGGCAGGAACUGGCUCAGGAUCAGAUGAAGCAGAUGCUUUAUCAAGGUCCGGAAAGAGGUAAGGUCGGCCAAAUCAAAGGGAAGGGUCUACUCUUUAAACGAAAACUUUUCUUGAUCCUCUCAUUCUAUUCUAUAUACAACAACGAAGGUAAGGGAAAGCCAACCAUUGGAUAACACUUACUGAAACUCGGGAUGAAACAUGAACUGUAACUGGAGUAGGAAAAGACAGGACUCCAUAAGGGCACCGAACUCAUAAACUAAUAUAUAACCCAAUUGUUUAUUUCUCUCUUUGUCUUUGUCACUUACCUGAGUAGCUUGUCGUUUAAUUGCUUGGCCCGAGUUUAGUUCAGAUGCUCUUGUUCCAGCCUUGCUUUUGCUAGCCCAAUCC